UAACCCUUAGGGGCAUUGAAAAGUCCCAUAAAGGACUUGUUUUUUUUUGUCUUUCUCAAGCCCAAGUCGUUGCCCACCCGUUGACCUGCUUUUAAAGCUCAUCCCUUGAUCCUUAAAGGGGGCCGGUGGAUUAAUCAGAUCCAACUUUAUUGUCAGUUCGUCGGCCGCCAGAUCUUGUUGUUUUCAUGGGGAAAUACCUAGGUAGCCAAAUACCUAGUUCCUUGCUCCAAAGCUUGAAGCACCCACGUAUUCUGUAUCAGAGGAAGAGCAGAAGAAGCACCAAUUGGUGCUUCUUGUGCUCAUCUUCUAACAAUCUCAUUCAUCUUGCCAAAUAAAAAUUAUGUAGCAGAUUAAUUACUAGUAUAGUUUUGUUGAAUGAUCGAAUUUCAAUAGUUUCGCUUGUUGAUGUUCAGUUCCAUUUUUAUUUUCCUUUUUUACUUUGAGUAAUUUCCUAAUUCUCAUUGUGGUAAUAGUGAUUCUUUCAUAAGCACAAGGCGGAUCUAAAAUUCAUGGAUUUGUAUAAAUAUUGUAUGCUUCAGAUGUUUUUAUUUACUAGUACCUUUGUAAUUUUAGAUUAAAGAUUCUGUAAUUUUUGUUUGAUUAAUACCUUUUUGUUACUUAAUUUUUCAUUAUUUACUUUCUGGGUUUCAAAAUUUUCUACAGAACAAAAGAAAGAGGUAGUGGAAAACAAAAUCAUAACUCAAACAAUUGACAAUUGAAACAAGCAAGAAACCAAAAAUUGACUCAUGCUCCUGUUUUAUCCAAAACUGUUGGAAUUCGGUUUGAUAUGGCUUGUGUUUUAACAGAGUUUUCCCAACCAACAGUGUGUUUAUAAACUGCCACUUGCUCUGUUCUAUCUACAUGACAACCUGUGUUGCUACCGCUGCCAUCUUAUGUCGUCUGCCCCUGUCAGUUUUAUGUGCAUUUUGAGAACAUAUUGAUGCUGGUGUUAUUAUCCGUGUGAUCUACAUUGUAACAUUGUGCUGUUGCUGGCAUCUUAUUUCUGGCACUAUGCUAUGGGGCUUGCCCACUCUGUAUUCUGGCUUCUGAUCUUCUCCGGUAUUUGGUGUACUUUGCUAUUUUACCCGAACUCUGAAGGAGCUUGCUUGACUGCAUGAUAAGCUAUCUCUCUAGCAGAAGCCUUCACCCCAGCGAUGAAAGUUGCUGUAUGAUUAUUGCACUGCUGUAUUCUUCCCAGGUGGCAUUUUUAUGAUGUUUUAUACACUCUCUGCCCGAUGUUGGCUGUUACGUAUUUCACUAUUUCCAGGCAGCUAUGUACCGGGGGAUGCCUUCUCUUUCACUGAUUCUUUGUUGAUAAGUCUUAUCAAAUUUCUGGUACUCAAUAAAAUUCUACUGUUGACUCGGAAAAAAAAGAAACCCAAAAUUUACUUGGCAUGAGCUGAUCUGAUUACAAUGCCAUGUU